GGAUCGAUGGGAGCUUGCUCCCUGCAGAUCAGCGGUAGACGGCCUGAGUAACACGUGGGUAACCUGCCUGUAAGACUGGGAUAACUCCGGGAAACCGGGGCUAAUACCGGAUAACACCUACCCCCGCAUGGGGGAAGGUUGAAAGGUGGCUUCGGCUAUCACUUACAGAUGGACCCGCGGCGCAUUAGCUAGUUGGUGAGGUAACGGCUCACCAAGGCGACGAUGCGUAGCCGACCUGAGAGGGUGAUCGGCCACACUGGGACUGAGACACGGCCCAGACUCCUACGGGAGGCAGCAGUAGGGAAUCUUCCGCAAUGGACGAAAGUCUGACGGAGCAACGCCGCGUGAGUGAAGAAGGUUUUCGGAUCGUAAAACUCUGUUGUUAGGGAAGAACAAGUGCCGUUCGAAUAGGGCGGCACCUUGACGGUACCUAACCAGAAAGCCACGGCUAACUACGUGCCAGCAGCCGCGGUAAUACGUAGGUGGCAAGCGUUGUCCGGAAUUAUUGGGCGUAAAGCGCGCGCAGGUGGUUUCUUAAGUCUGAUGUGAAAGCCCACGGCUCAACCGUGGAGGGUCAUUGGAAACUGGGGAACUUGAGUGCAGAAGAGGAAAGUGGAAUUCCAAGUGUAGCGGUGAAAUGCGUAGAUAUUUGGAGGAACACCAGUGGCGAAGGCGACUUUCUGGUCUGUAACUGACACUGAGGCGCGUAAUGCCCACCC
rnacentral:rRNA from 2 species